CGAACACUAUCGUUUCCGAGUGCACCUACGAGAAUUGAACCACGCCUAUCCCCCUACUCUCGUUCGCGCGACCGGCCACCUCGUGCUGUUUUUACCGGCAAGGUAACCGAUGACGAGACAGAGAAAGAGAAUCGUGGUGGAUUCGCUCGGCGGAAGAGAAGAACGAGACAGAGAGGGAAGUCUCUUUUACUGGUUUCUCUACUCGGGCCUGCCCACGCGCCGAGGAUGCGUGCUUGCGCGCGCAAAAGCUCGUUGAUAAGGAACACGUUGCGUUGGAUGCUGAGAAUCCUAAGACUCGACGGGGAUCGAUGCCUUCCAGACGAUUUGCUCCUUCUUCUUUCCUUCUUCUUGCUGCGACGACUUCGGCGAAAAUUUGAACGCAUACAUUGAACUACCUUGACGGCGUGAAAGGAACGUUCUUGUGGCGGUACGAGCAUAGACACGCGAAGAUUCGUGUGGUAUCCUGCCGAAAAAGUGUGUAACUCGAUCCGGCAAAAAGAUUUUCCUCUACCACGUUGCUGCGAAGCGUAGCGUCGCAACUCCGUGGAACAUCCCUCUGUUUCUCUUCGUGGUUGAUCGCAGUGAAAAACACGUAGUGUGAAUGCGCACAGAAACGUUCGUCAGCUGAUUCAUUGACCUAAGGCAGCUACAUGAACUUGUGUAAAUAAUUAAAAUCGAACAAUCACAAAUCGAUAUGGAGAAGAAAUCACGUGUCAACUAGUUCACUAUUGUUCCCAAGGAACUCGAGUGUGAGGCGUUACACUUUGUCCAAGAACCGCUCCAGGCAGCAAGUGGUGUCGUUUCAACGAUCGCGCACGCGAUGUCGAGCGAUCAUUGUGUCUCGAACAAGAAGGAGGCACACUACCGAUAGAGAGACACGCAGCGAAACCCACGUCGCGUGUUAUCGUGGUAGAAAUAUCAUCGAUGAGAACGAGCGUCGUAAUUCGUCGCUAAUCACCACGUGCACACGGUGUGGGAGGCGGCACCGCAGGAGAAUGUCAGUGAAAGUCUAUCUCGGCGAUCGUUCCUACGAUGAUUGUCGUCCCACGUGUUCUCGCCGGCACGACAAUCGCUUCCUGAUGAAGCGAACGACCCAUUCGAUACCAACAAGAGAGAUUCCAAAGCCUCUAAGAGGAUACCCGAACAGUUGUUAUGCGUAGUCAACUCGGGAAUGGUAAUGGAACUUCCUAAACGUCGUUUAGCCGACAUUAUAUCGCAUUGCGAAAUAUGUCCCAUAAAUUUUAAAUUUAAAUAUCGAACGACUUUAGUUUCUUUGAUUUCUGUUUUGUUAUGUCAUCCUGAAAGUCUCCGUAGUUUUAAGCCAUUC